CCUACGGGUGGCAGCAGUGAGGAAUAUUGGUCAAUGGACGAGAGUCUGAACCAGCCAAGUAGCGUGAAGGAUGACUGCCCUAUGGGUUGUAAACUUCUUUUAUAUGGGAAUAAAAUGUUGCACGUGUGGGAUUUUGUAUGUACCAUAUGAAUAAGGAUAGGCUAACUCCGUGCCAGCAGCCGCGGUAAUACGGAGGAUCCGAGCGUUAUCCGGAUUUAUUGGGUUUAAAGGGAGCGUAGGUGGAUUGUUAAGUCAGUUGUGAAAGUUUGCGGCUCAACCGUAAAAUUGCAGUUGAAACUGGCAGUCUUGAGUACAGUAGAGGUGAGCGGAAUUCGUGGUGUAGCGGUGAAAUGCUUAGAUAUCACGAAGAACUCCGAUUGCGAAGGCAGUUCACUGGACUGCAACUGACACUGAGGCUCGAAAGUGUGGGUAUCAAACAGGAUUAGAUACCCGUGUAGUC
rnacentral:rRNA from 1 species